GUAUCAACUUCUUUUGUUGAUUUAGAAAUUGUAAAGUUGAGAACAAUUGUGUAUUAUGGUGAAUGACUAAAUGUAAAAAGAUAUGAUGGAUGAAUGGAAUGUAAUAGUUUUAUUUACUUGUAUUUGGUUUAAAUUUAAUCAAAUAUCAUGUAUGUUGUAUAUUUAGCUUAGAGCUUUCGCUUCCGUUGUUGCUUACCCUCGUGC
rnacentral:lncRNA from 1 species